AGGUUCAAAAAAACCAGCUUAAAACACAACUUGUACAGCUACUGGCUUUUCUCCCUAGUAUUGCCCACUCCUGAAAACCUAUGUACAGACACACUGCAACAGUCCAGUGUCUGACAGGCUGAAAUCCUGCAAAUAGGCCUCUAGGUAGGAAGCAGUGAAGCUCCUCACCAACAGAAGCCUGCAGUAUUUAAACUCAACCCCUAGUUAUUCCUUCACAAAUUUCUCUGUGUCAUUGCAACUACCACCGUGGAAAACCAUGAACAGAUUUUAAGAUAAAAAAAUUUUAGCUACCAGAAGUGAACCAAACAAAGAACACCCACAAACAGUUGUUCACACUCAAGGUUUCCCCAUGAAAUCUCUACAACAGACUUCAGUCACCUGACUCACAGCAGCUCCAUGAGACCCUUCCCUCCCUGCACUGUACCCACACUUGCCAUGUUGGAAGGUUUCUGGUAUUUCUGCACAAAGGCAAGGAAUACCUCUCCAGCCUUUAGUUAUCAAGGAAGGGGAUUAAUUAAACAAUCCUGCUGUCACUGGCUGUAGCUGCACCCUAACACUACAUUUCAUGGUGCAUCAUUCCUACAGGCAUUUUGGGGAAGUGACAGAUGACAGCUGCAUUCACUGGUGUCACUAUGCUAUGUCUACAAUACAUACAGACAGAAGUCCAAAGCACUGCUAUUUAAGUACAAAACAUUCUUCUGCAAGGCUUAACAGGCAGUUGAGUGUCUCAUCAGUACUGUGCUGUAACACCUGAAAGAGAGCCUAAUCCCAGUACACUGUGCAAAAAACAGCAGUGGGUGUAGAACCAUCUGUGUAACAUAACGUCAUUCGGUGAGUCCUAUCUAUGGAAUAUGCUGUCACAGCAAGGACCUUGUAAUUUAUUUCCUCUAAAUUAAAAAAUAAAGGCAUAUUUCUCAACAACUUUAAGGUAAUCAGGUCUUGCAGAAAAGUAGUAUUGAAUGCAGCAUCCAAAUCUGAUAUUGGAUACAAAAAUCCAGUAUUAUUAAAAUAUAAACCUGACCAUCCUAACUGGUCAUCCUUAGUGAAAGACUGAUUGAGCAGAAACAGAAAACUGUAGUUGAGUCUCAGUCCAACCAUUCUAACAGCCAGCACCAACAUAAGUUACUUCAGCCCUUCUCCUCAGGCUAUAACAAUUUGAGAAUAAAAGUCUGUCAGCUAAGCUGCACAUAUGGGUUCAGGGGAUUAAGGACUACUCCUGAUUCAGCUCGGUAACCAAGGAACCCUCCCGACUCCACUGCAGGGCACGCAAGCUCCUCCCAGCCACGCUACCAGCAGGAGCAGCCAGCCCCAGAGGCAGCUUGGGAUGUUCCUGGCCAUGCCCAGAGAGAACAGCUGAAGCACAUUCAUAUAAACACAUACAGCUCUCCUGCACAAGGACUGCACCUGACACUAACACAGGAACAAGCUGCUGGUGGGGCAUGCUGCCUUUUUUGAAAGGGCAUCUUUAUGUAUCAGUGAUGGAUGAGUCAGGCUCCCCACGUCCCCCCCACGCUCAGUGUCCUUGCUUCCUAUUGGGAGGGAGUUUUCCAGCCCUAACAUAAUGAAGUUAUUCCUUUGGCUAGCACACAUGUGCCAAUAACUGGUAAGCCAGAGAACAGAAUUUUGGUUUUCCUUUUUUUUUUUUUUCCAGAUCAUCAAGGACCCACAAGAUUUCCCAGGGACUCCCUUCUUUAUAAGGAGAUAAACUGUAACACUGAAGAAAUGAAGGUCAUUGCUUUGACGUUCCAGUUAGCAAAUGAAGACACAGCACAGAUGCUUUAGCACUUUCUCUACAGCAGUGGGAAGUCUCAACACCCUAAAAAUAAGUUCAUGCAUGUUUGUUUUUUUAUUAGCAGCCUAACAAUGUAACAGCAGAGAGCCAACACUAUGCUAUCUCACUGUGAAACAAACGAGCCAGAACAGCAGAGUUAGGAUUGUUCAAAUUAGUGGAAGUCUGCAGUGGCGUUUUCAAGUUUACUCCAGCUUAGUCCAGUGGCACAGAGCCAGGUCUGAGAUCAGCUUGAAACCAAGGACUGGGAAGUUUGGAACAAUUUCUACCAGCUGCAAACAUCAGCCCCUUAGAACCAAAUACUUAGAGAUUUGACUCCAGAUAUUCUCAGCUCUCCCUACCCCAGUUCUAGUUCUCAGGAGCCUCCUCCUGAAGGAGUGACUAAGCAAGCAGUAGGCUGAAAACCAAGCAAAAACCAUCACACAGGUUUGAGAGUAACAGGAGCAGUUUGGUAUUAGAAUGGAUUUAAAACGCCUGAAAGAAAGGGAAGCUGUUGUCCCACCAGAGACAGGACAGUGCUACUUUUAACACAAAUCUGAGCAAGGGGCUCAUCUGGAGCAACAUCCAGCUGGAGUAUCUAUCUACCUACUCAGAUUUCCAAGUCAGGGCCCAGAGUGGCAAUGGCUCUUUGGAAAUGCUCUACAGUAUGCAAACCCUCACUACUGAGCUUUAUUAAAGGGCACAUCCAGAGAUGUGACACACCAAAGUCCAAGGGUCACUCACACUGAAAGCCCACAACAGGUAUCACAACACACUGCUGGGGAUGAGGCCUUCUGGGCCUUCUGUCAAUAAUUUUAAUGCUUUCAACUGGUAUUUCUCACAACUUACCCUAGACAGACAUUUUUAAACCAUGAAUUAUCAUAUUUACUGCCAUUAUUGAUAUUGCCAUCACCACUAAUCUUAGGCAAACAUUCUCUUUUCUGCCCUGUACUUACCUUGUUGAUCCCUCCUACCUCAGGAUUUGAGACCCUGACACAGCCAGGAGAGGCUCUGCACAGCCUGUGCACCAGCCCCAGCUACUCCACAGAGCAGAGCCCGUGUCCCUGCAGGGCCCCCUCACUGCAGCCCCCAAGAUCAAUCCCUCCAUUCCACCGCCCAAAAAGCAGGGACGAUUCACUCCUGCACCAGGAUAAAGGAUCCAUAUUCCGUGAGCAAGGCAUAAACCACACAGAAGACAAAUGCCUUGUGUUCUCUGCUCAAGCCUCCUGCACAAUCGCAGCAAAGCAGGACACAACAGCUGAACUACUUCAAACUCUCUGAGCCAGGAAUCCCACACUAACCACAGCACCAUCAUCCAGCUCCAGAGAAAGAGGACUGGGACAGCCUGGAUUUCCAUGGCUGUGCCAGCAUUACCACUUUAGAUGCCACACACAAAGGUUCUUAGAAAUACGGUGAAGGGCAGGAUAAAUAUCCGUAGGGUCCUGUGCAGACACCUGCAAUGGAAUCCUCUUAAACCAGAAGAUGGAAGCUAUGCUGCUGAUCUAAAUCAGUGGUUGCUCCUAAGCUGAGCCAGCCUGCACACUGAGUUGUGAAAACACCCUCCAAAGUCUGGGGGUGGAGAAGGAGGGAUAUCAGCUGCAGAAUGCUGCACAGCAAGUAAACAAAUGUGUUUCAACUUCAGGUUUGCAGCCCAGACAAACUACGCCACCCCAGAAGCUGCAAGCAGAGAAGGGCCUCACCAGAACAAGGAUAAAGAACAGUAAUUCUCAUGAUGUUGGUAUCAUUAUACCUCUAGAAUAACAACCCUCCCCAAAUUUCACAGGCUACUUUUACAAGAACUAAGCUAUCUGAAAUUUUACAGUAUCACCACAGAGUGAAAGAGGCUAAAAAUGAAAAAGAACACUGACCUGCAAAGGCUUUAUGAGAAUGAUUAUAGAGUUUGUGUAUCUUUGAGUCACAAAGGCCUGUGCAGUUGCAAAGCACGUCCAAACUAACAUGCGGUUAAAUUACAAUUUCCUUACCCUUACCUACAUGAAGCUGAACUGCCUCUGGACUGCACUACCAUCAUCUGAACUGUGCUACUCCACUCACUGAAUGGGAAAGCACAGCUGAGGCACCAACAAGCCCUAUCUCCAGGCUCCACUUAGUGCUUUGUUAUCUAGGAAAGUAAGAUGCAUCCAGAGAGGAGGAGAUAAGCAGAUAUCCUGCAACACAAGACACAUCUGCUUUCCUGAGCACACACUGUGAAAACACAGACUUUGCUAAGAAAAGAGCAAUCCAUCACACCCUGAGAUUACAUUAUGACAUCAAGCAAAGCAGGAGGACAGCAGCAGCAGCCUCAAGCAUCUGUCUGAACCUCAAACUGCUGUGAGUGCAACAUGUCCUCAGUACCCACGAUAAAGACACAGUGCUGCCUCAGGAAGCACAGAGGAAAUCAAUAUGUCAGGGCUCUCAAAAGCAGUCCUCAACCUUCUGCAACUAAAUGGAAAUAUAUGGAAAAAAAGCCCUUACAGCAUCUGUUAACCACAUGCUGAGCUGGAAGAGCCUGAGCAUGGCAAGAACCUGCAUUUUAGCACACUGCAAGGAGACAGCUUUCUGCUCCAAGCAGUGAAUCACUCUAUUAGCAGCAGUGCUCCAAGAGCCUAAAGCAGCUCUAGCAACCCCCACUGAAGUUAAGUGAGCCCUUCUUUAAGGGUUACCAAAUGAGACAGCAAAAUACAUUUAGUCUAGCUGUUCUGUUAUGCAAUGUUUAAGUCCAAGUUCUAAACAUUAGACUGCUGAAGCUGCUACUCCAGCAAACUUCUUAACUUAUGAAAUUCAUUAAAAACAAGUGAGUCUUCAGUGUUUUCUUAGGCCUGAAAUAUUUGAGGCCUUCAAAAUCUUCACAAAGAAAUACAGUCUGCAAUUCAGAGGCACAUCCACAGGUGCUACCUCCAUGGAUAAACAAAGACAAGGGAGUUAGCCAAGAACAACAGAAGAGUUAAGGAAUUUUUCCUAUGCUUUUGUCAUGAGUCAUGGAGAUCUAAGAUUAAUUAUAGCCUACACUGAAAGUACCUUAAAAAAUGCAUCACUGAUUUCAGUUAGACAGUAUUUCAUGUCUAACAGGUUUUCACAAGAUGCUUGAGCACUCAUACAGCAUCAGUAAACCUGUCAAAGUCAGUAAGGCCAGAUGGAAACUACAGGUAUGUCACCAGGACCUAUUCAGUCAGCUUUUAAACUUAAAAAGUCUUUUCAAUCUUAAGCCCUGAAUGGUAUCAAUUGUAGCAGAGCAAAAUAAAUGAUAAGAAAAAGCCACUCUUCUGAACUUCCUCAAACAUUCAGCCCAUUUCCUACUUCAGCUGACUCACGUUGGAACUUGCUCACAGAACACUUCCAGCAUCAGAAAAAAACAGAACUCAAACAAAAGACAACAGUUCUAUGCCAAGUUAUUGAUGGUUACCCAAACAUGAAUGUCCCUAAAAACACGAUCCAGAGUUCAACAGAUAAGUUAGUAGAGACCCUUAGAACGACUUAUAAUAAAUGUAGCAACUACAUACAAGA